CCUACGGGAGGCAGCAGUGGGGAAUCUUAGACAAUGGGGGCAACCCUGAUCUAGCCAUGCCGCGUGAGUGAUGAAGGCCUUAGGGUCGUAAAACUCUUUCGCCUGUGAUGAUAAUGACAGUAGCAGGUAAAGAAACCCCGGCUAACUCCGUGCCAGCAGCCGCGGUAAUACGGAGGGGGUUAGCGUUGUUCGGAAUUACUGGGCGUAAAGCGCGCGUAGGCGGAUUAGAAAGUUGGGGGUGAAAUCCCGGGGCUCAACCCCGGAACUGCCUCCAAAACUGCUAGUCUAGAGUUCGAGAGAGGUGAGUGGAAUUCCGAGUGUAGAGGUGAAAUUCGUAGAUAUUCGGAGGAACACCAGUGGCGAAGGCGGCUCACUGGCUCGAUACUGACGCUGAGGUGCGAAAGUGUGGGGAGCAAACAGGAUUAGAUACCCUGGUAGUCCACACCGUAAACGAUGAAUGCCAGUCGUCGGAUAGUAUACUAUUCGGUGACACACCUAACGGAUUAAGCAUUCCGCCUGGGGAGUACGGUCGCAAGAUUAAAACUCAAAGGAA
rnacentral:rRNA from 1 species